GCUGAAUUCUUCUCCACAUCAAACAAAUGAACAGGUUCUUGGUUAAUGGGAUUUUCAAGAAAUAUUCGCAUUCUUUCGGAUUUGUUGCUCGUGCAGCUGCUUCGCCAUCACCCUUCAGCGUCGUCUUAUACAAGGUUAGUUCCACCCGGUUCUUUUUCCCCUUUUCGUUCGGUGAUGGGUACACACGGCUAUAGACAUGCAUAUAUACCGCCAAUACAGCGAGAGAGAGCAAAAUGGGAAAAGGAUUCCGUGGGCCUGUGUUAUACGGGGGAUCGGAAACUAAUACAACACAACAUUCCUGCCUCUUCUCUAACGAUUUGGGUAACAGUUUGGUAACAUAUAUAAAAAAAAA